rnacentral:rRNA from 1 species
UGGGGAAUAUUGCACAAUGGGCGCAAGCCUGAUGCAGCCAUGCCGCGUGUAUGAAGAAGGCCUUCGGGUUGUAAAGUACUUUCAGUCGGGAGGAAGGUGGUAAGGUUAAUAACCUUGGCAAUUGACGUUACCGACAGAAGAAGCACCGGCUAACUCCGUGCCAGCAGCCGCGGUAAUACGGAGGGUGCAAGCGUUAAUCGGAAUUACUGGGCGUAAAGCGCACGCAGGCGGUUGAUUGAGUCAGAUGUGAAAUCCCCGGGCUUAACCUGGGAACUGCAACUGAUACUGGCAAGCUUGAGUCUCGUAGAGGGGGGUAGGAUUCCAGGUGUAGCGGUGAAAUGCGUAGAGAUCUGGGGGAAUACCGGUGGCGAAGGCGGCCCCCUGGACGAAGACUGACGCUCAGGUGCGAAAGCGUGGGGAGCAAACAGG